rnacentral:siRNA from 1 species
GAAAGGCCCCGAUCCGGACUGC